AUCAGGUUUGAUGCAUGCUAAAACAAAUGACAGUACACUCACAAUGAUGAUAUGUUAACAAAUAUUUUUUAUUACUAUUAUCUAUAUGUAUUAACAUAGGAUUACAUUAUGGUUGUUUAUCACUAACUAAACACUUUUACAAAGAUUCCAAGUUUCUAGGGUUUCCAGGUAUGCCAAGCCCAGGUUUGCGUUUUAUGUAUAGUCUUUUCGCACUCUGGUGUUCUGAGGUUUUACUGUAAUUCCUCAAGAGAUGUUUGGGCACACGUAAACUUACAAGUAAUUUACGAAACUCCUUAUAGCCAGUUGGUCUUUUCUUUUUUGACACAGACUCGGAACCAAGAAUAGAAUAUCGAAUCAACUUUGUGAGGUUUGAAUCUUUCAACACGUUUCCAUUUGGCAACACAAUCUCUAAAUUAUCCGUCACUGUCAUGUUGCCUGCGUCGACUUUAUGUUUGACAAACAGAAACAGAGACAUUACUUUUCCCAUAGUUCUCUUAGAUUUAAUGUUCUUCAGAAGAUGAUCAAGAACUGUAAACAAAAAGUCACUGCUGUUGUUGACAGGUUUCCGGUUCCCAUCGCAUACAUCGUUCCUUGAGGCAAUGUUGCCUGUCGAUUCAUUCGCUGUCUGAGUAGGAAGAGGAGGCACUGUCGUCUGAUGUUCCGGAUUCCUCUCCUGACUCACUGUCGCUGUCUCCAUCAUCGAUGACUUGUUGUCUUCCUGUUUGGACAUCAGGCUGUUGUAGGUGUCCCUCGACAGGAGCAUCAUUGCCUAGGUCAUGACGAGUGAGCGACAGGGUUGAAAACAGUUUGGUCCCCGUGGGUGGCUUCUUCUCAUCUUUCUUCCCCAACAAACCUAACUCUGCGAGCAAGUUUCGGUGAUAAAGUGACAAGUCGUCGAAAGGAAUGCUUUCUUUGGUGGGAGCGAGGGGCAAGGACUGAUGGGCAGCGUGAAGAUGACGUGGAUAUUCCAAAUCGCACUCUACAACGUAACCUACCGUGCCUUCGGGGUCUACCUGCAUCCAGUUAAUGGCAUCUACCUCUGUUUCAUCUACCCAUUCAAAAUCGCCUCGUGGUAAAGGACAACUCAUGGCGGCGCCAUACAAAUUGUUAAUGUCAUAAUACAUCAGAUGGGAUUCGGGUUUGGAUGGGUCGAAAUCGGACAUGUGUUCGUUGUUGGCUUGGGCGUAUCGAUGAUUGAUACUAGCCACACACCCUCUUACCGCAUUGGAGACAAAAUUGUACAUGUCUGGAUAGGUCAUGAGAUCUAGUUUCACCCCUGUCAUCAAGAGACAUGCAUCCAUAGCCAUACCAGGGAGGGUGUAGUAUUGACACGGAUCGAGUUUGUAGUAGCUCAGACACAUGUCGCGAAAUGCUUCAAACACAUCGGUUAGAAUCAAAGUGUCAACAGCAACGUACAGUUCCAUGAAUUCUCUCACGGAUGUGAUUUUGAAAGUCUGCCAAAUGUGUUGAGCAAAGGCAUAUUCUUCUUCCGAAAUGGUAUCUUCACUUAAAGAGGAAUAAAAGUCAUCACGACUCGGAAA